rnacentral:rRNA from 1 species
UACGUAGGGUGCGAGCGUUAAUCGGAAUUACUGGGCGUAAAGCGUGCGCAGGCGGUUCGUUAAGUCAGAUGUGAAAGCCCCGGGCUCAACCUGGGAACUGCAUUUGAAACGGGCGGGCUUGAGUGCGGCAGAGGGGGGUGGAAUUCCGCGUGUAGCAGUGAAAUGCGUAGAGAUGCGGAGGAACACCGAUGGCGAAGGCAGCCCCCUGGGCCGACACUGACGCUCAGGCACGAAAGCGUGGGGAGCAAACAGG